GUUUGCGGACCCCCGUUAUAUCAUAGAAGAAUAACAAGCCCGUCUGAGUUCUUAUUAGUUCUUGAACACAGCUCAUAUUCUGUGUUUACAUUGGCGAAGUCUUCCCACCCCACCCUGUCUUUCAAGUGGACGUUUUUCCAAAUGACCCCGUCGUUUCAACAAGUGGUUAGAUGGAGAGAAAAAAUAUAUCAAGUGCUUAUAGUUAGUUAGCUCGUAGAUUUAUCAAAAGCAGAGUGGGUAGACACUUUUUGUCGAUGUGCACAAGAGUAACUAACUUAACUAGCCCAUUUUGCCUGCUGGGUUCUUCUAGAUGUAGCGAACUAACGUUAAGUAGCUCAAUCUAGUCAAGUAAUUUAGUCAACAAACAUUCAACACUGAAAGUAAACAUUUUGAUUUCCUUGCUCAAAUAUGGGGACGUGUUUACCGUGCCUUGGUGGAUCUGGAAACGACUUGUCCCCCACACCAGAUCGAGAGACAAGGAGACGUCAGCUGGCAGAGACAGCUGAGCAGAGACAGAAAGAGAAAUUCUUCAGUCAAAGCCAAUUGUAUCCAACCCAUAAAGCAUGUCGGCCUACUAAAGCAUCGAGACAACCUCCAGGGGCAUCAAAAACCCCCAAGCAGUUGAGAGAAAUAAAAAGAAUAAGGAGAUGGAGAAACAAGAGAUGAGACCAUCUCCACCUGGAGGAGGAGGAGGGCUGAAGGUAGGCUAAAGAUGGACAUGGAGAGAUCCUGGAAGUCUCAAUCUAGAGGUUCAGCUAACAACAUGAAGAGUGUUGGUACCAGUUGACUUGAAAAGGCUUUUUUUGGGUGUUGGCCCUUCUACUACACUUUCUAUAUUUUUAAAUGCAAGCUUAUUUUUUUUAGAGGAGAUUGUUUGCCAGGCUUCGACACUGGUACAAAAAUAAAGAUUCUACUGCCUCCCUUAAUGCCAAGAUAUACAAGAGAAUAUGCAAGCCAGCCAAUGGAGCUUUGGAACAGACAGGGUGGCAUAGCUAUGAAUAGAAUAUACACACUCAGAGGAAAUAUGCUCACACUACAUCUAUAAACUGUACCAGGCAUCUUGCUGCGUACUCUCUCUUUGUCCUCUCUCCUCACGCUCCUCCUUCUUUCUCUCAGCCAUUUCAACUUGGCCAGCUUUAACACCAUGGUGCUUUCUUCUUCUGAGGAAUGUUCUCAUUCUUGUGAACAAUUUACUGUAUAGUACAUUUUCCUUCUAAAAUGAUUUUAUGCAACAAAGUCCUUUAAUGUUCAAAAUAGGCCUAGAUGAUUCAAAUGACGUUUUCUAUUGUAGAUCAGUGUGAAAAGAACUACAUUUCCCAUAGCUACUGAUGAACCACAUGACGUUUUCUAUUGUAGAUCAGUGUGAAAAGAACUACAUUUCCCAUAGCUACUGAUGAACCACAUGACGUUUUCUAUUGUAGAUCAGUGUGAAAAGAACUACAUUUCCCAUAGCUACUGAUGAACCACAUGACGUUUUCUAUUGUAGAUCAGUGUGAAAAGAACUACAUUUCCCAUAGCUACUGAUGAACCACAUGAAUGUUUUAGAGUUCAUGCACCAGCACUAUUCAGUUAACAUUUCACUUUAGUGUUUAAUUUUCAUAUGUCUGUGCAAUAUAAGUAUGAAGAAAAUGCUUUAUUUAAUUUAGAUAAGAAAUUUGAGUUGUGAUGAAAGUGUUUAUGCAUGUCACGAGUCCGACCGAAGGUGGUUCCCCUUCCCGUUCGGGUGGUGCUUGGCGGUCGUCGUCACCGGCCUACUAGCUGCCACUGAUUUAUUUCCUCCCCCUCCUUAUGUGUUUAUUGAUAGCACCUGUUUUGAGUUGGUUGUAAUUAGUUGGGCUUUAUUAGUCAGCCGGCCCGCACGUUUCUCUGUGCGGGAUUGAUUAUUGUAACCCUGGUGUUUGUUAUUGUCGAACGUGUUGGUUUAUGUUUGUGUAUAGUGCUGGACUGGUGAACGUGUUGGUUUAUGUUUGUGUAUAGUGCUGGACUGGUGAACGUGUUGGUUUAUGUUUGUGUAUAGUGCUGGACUGGUUCGUUCCCCGUGUCUGGGGCAUGUUGUUUUGAGCACCCAGUGUUUAGUGGGGUGGCCGUGGUUCACCGUGUGUUGCAUUAAAGGAGCACUAUAUUGAA